AAUAAAGUAAGCUAAGAAUUAAGCUGUUGGGCUCAUAAUCCAGAAAUAGAUGUUAAUCUCUUUAUUA
rnacentral:tRNA from 1 species